CGACUUGGAGGUUGUGCCCUUGAGGCGUGGCUUCCGGAGCUAACGCGUUAAGUCGACCGCCUGGGGAGUACGGCCGCAAGGUUAAAACUCAAAUGAAUUGACGGGGGCCCGCACAAGCGGUGGAGCAUGUGGUUUAAUUCGAUGCAACGCGAAGAACCUUACCUACUCUUGACAUCCACGGAAUUCGGCAGAGAUGCCUUAGUGCCUUCGGGAACCGUGAGACAGGUGCUGCAUGGCUGUCGUCAGCUCGUGUUGUGAAAUGUUGGGUUAAGUCCCGCAACGAGCGCAACCCUUAUCCUUUGUUGCCAGCGAUACGGUCGGGAACUCAAAGGAGACUGCCGGUGAUAAACCGGAGGAAGGUGGGGAUGACGUCAAGUCAUCAUGGCCCUUACGAGUAGGGCUACACACGUGCUACAAUGGCGCAUACAAGGAGAAGCGACCUCGCGAGAGCAAGCGGACCUCACAAAGUGCGUCGUAGUCCGGAUCGGAGUCUGCAACUCGACUCCGUGAAGUCGGAAUCGCUAGUAAUCGUGGAUCAGAAUGCCACGGUGAAUGCGUUCCCGGGCCUUGUACACACCGCCCGUCACACCAUGGGAGUGGGUUGCAAAAGAAGUAGGUAGCUUAACCUUCGGGAGGGCGCUUACCACUUUGUGAUUCAUGACUGGGGUGAAGUCGUAACAAGGUACC
rnacentral:rRNA from 1 species